AGCUAAGAGGUUAAACAGACAGACAGACCCGGAAGCACAGAGAGCAAGUAGUAACAAAUAAGCUUAUCAUCAAUGGUCGACUACCUGUGGUUCCAAUAUUAACUUCUUGUGAACUGCAAAAGAUGGAUGGGCCCUGCUGAGAUGUGUUUUGCCGUACUGUUGCUAUGUUCCUGUGCAAGCCUGCUGAGUGGUGCUGCUUCAUAUCCAUACGAGAUCCCGGCAUCCCUAAUCAUUUCUGUCGCCGCAUUACCAACGUCGGAGUUCGCACCCAGAGCUGAGCAAAUUGGAUCUUCACGGGAGUCCAGCUUCAAUGUACUCAUGCACCGUGCGAAGCGAGCGACCAUGAAUAAUUCACCGGUUGAGUUCUCACCAGGACACUCAGGCUGCACAGCGGUCGAGUGGUUGGCGCACAGGCCUCACAGCCAGGAGACCGGAGUUUGAUUCCACCCUCGGCCAUCUCUGUGUGGAGUUUGCAUGUUCUUCCCGUGCAUGGUGUUCUCCGGGUACUCCGGGUUUCCUCCCACAUUCCCAAAACAUGCUAGGUUAAUUAAGUGACUCCAAAUUGUCCAUAGGUAUGAAUGUGAGUGUGAAUGGUUGUUUGUCUAUAUGUGCCCUUUGAUUGGCUGGCCACCAGUCCAGGGUGUAUCCCGCCUCUCGCCCGAAGACAGCUGGGAUAGGCUCCAGCACCCCCUGCGACCCUUGCAAGGAUAAACAGUAGAAAAUGUAUAUCCCGGCUCCCAUUGGUACUCGUGACUCGGUGCCUGACCCUACCGCUGACCAGUCCAGACUGUAGUCCGCCUAGCAACACCUCAGCCGCGGUACAGAACAAAAAUCGACAUAAUUGUAGGUAGUAUGGUGGUUCACAUCGCUGAAUUCCAAGCAGCUGGACGUGAUUCCGAGUCGUGCCCUGCGACGGACUCACCAGACGGCAUGCAACUGCUAAUCUUUUGAUUCCAGCACAGUAACAAGAUAAAAAAGCCACAUGCAAGAAGACCUAAAUCAGCACCACUAUUUUCUCCUCUUCAGGCUGGAGUGAAAUCCAUUUAGCUAUUGCAAGGGGGGAGUGAUUUCUCCAUUAUUUAUAAGAAUAAUUGCUCCCUAAUCAUGAAGUAUAUGGAGUGUGGGGAAUAAGGGUGGGGGUAGUGAUUUUCAUCCAAAUGGAAAUAUGGAUUUCCUUUUGAAAUAAACAACCUGUGUGGCUGCUCUUAAUGGGGGAUUGUACAGUAAAAUAAAGAUGCCACCGGAGACCUUUAAGGUUUUUGCAUCUGCAGUCCAUAUUGCAUUGCGGAACGAGGCAAAUGUUGCUAUUUUAAUGAAUUCGCCUGCAUUCUUUUGAACCGGGUUGGAAGAUACCAGUAGAAUCAGAGGAACAUAAAACACAUACUGAGUAGAAUUGUCGGAAUAGUAGUAUUUAUUCAUGAUGACAUCUGUACCACAGUACAUAUUCAGCUGCCUGCUUUUGGUUCGGCUCUAAAAACCUUCACUAGCGAAUCUUACCGAGGCUCCUAAUUGGCUGAGAAUGAAAGCAAACCAAGGAAAGGAGUAUAUUUUUUUUGAUGGGGUACAUUGGGUACACAAAACAACUGCAUUGGUUAUGUAUCUGUAUAUGAGAGACGUGCAGAGAAACAUAUCCGGGGGGACGCUGAGCGCUGACAGAUGACUGAUGGAGAAACAAAACGAGUGUCGUGUCGUGUAACUCACACAAAAACAAGUUCUCACUGCUUGUGGGCAACACUAACAAUGCGGGGACGGGGAUGACUCACACAGGGACAAACCAAAACUAAUUACAGCCCGUUUUUUUUUUCUAUUUAAAUAAAAAAAAUACCAUAUUAGCUACAACUGAACAAUAUAGUCAACUUUAAAAAUUGUUUAAACUGCUGGUCUAUGCCCCCCCACGAUAAUGCAUUUUUUCCAAAAGUAAAUAAUAAAUAAUAAUAAUGAUGGCUGUUUUGUGGUUCACUAUGGCCUAUUAUUAGUCAAAAAAUACUAAAAGACAAAUUAUAUUCAGUAUUGUGGUCACCAGGCAUCAGUAAUGUAACCUUUCACACUGCGUGGAGACUGGCUAUUGAGCCAGCAGAGCCGAUCACACAUGCCGUGGCUGAGAUUGAGUGAAAAAACAGCGUCUCCUCUCAUUCUGUGUGGAAGUGGUAUUUUUUUUUUAGGGGGGGGGAGUUGGACCUUCUUCCCCACUUCGUUUGAAACACUUUCUUCAUUUUCUUAAGUCUUAAAGGCCAUUUUUUGUAGCCUGCACAAUGUGAUC